rnacentral:tRNA from 1 species
GAGAGAGGCCAGUUCGCAGCGAAGACUGCUAAUCUUCGUUACUUUGGUUAGACUCCGAAGCUCCCUCG